rnacentral:misc_RNA from 1 species
AGAGAGCCCCAUAUGCAGUGGCUGCAGCCUGCCUCACUGAAUAUGACUUGUCAGAAAGAAGCUGAGAGAAACCCUGAAAGAGGAAAGAAGCAGAGUGAGCAACGAGGAGCGAGUUAGGAGGAAAGAUAAUCGCACGGUGGAGGGAAUUAAUGGCGGCCAGUCGAGCCGAGUCGUCAUCAUCAGAGUUGGUUGUUUUAGUAGUAGCGGCGGCAACUGUUAAGGCGGUGGCGGUGGAGGCCGUUGCUGAAGAAGAGGAUGAGGAAGCGGAGUCGUCGGUGGGGAGAGCAACGGAAAGGAGUGCAGCGAGUUGCUGUCGUUGAUGGUGGAGUCCUUGCAUCAUCGGCGCUGCUGUUUCUAUGUCUGUGGAUUUGCAUCUCUGUUCAAUUCUCUACACGACAUCCGACCUUUCUUGCUUCUAUUUGCUGCUUCAGCCUACACAUGCUCUGUUUUGUUGCCGGAAAACGAUAUUUGAAGAAACUUGUUUGUAUAA